rnacentral:tRNA from 1 species
GAUAGAGCUCAGUAGCACAGCACCUGCCUAGCAAGUACAAGGUCCUGGGUUCAAUUCCCAGUAUC